CUACCCUCUUAGCAAGAAAAUGGCUAUUCACUGCUGUGAAGGAUCCUUCUUACUUGCUCUUGCACAUCCUAACUGGGUUGACACCCUAAGGCUAACAAGUUACAACCCAACUGCACUAUUAAGCAAGCUCAAGAAUCAGGCAUCAAGACGACUGGAAAACACACACUCACAGGACCAACCCCCAGAACAAAAAGGGGAACAGAACAUGUUGAUCCUUAGGGUGUGUGGGUUUGAGGCGGCACCCUGUUUAAGAAAGUUAACCAAUAAGGCCUGAGUUGUUUUUAGCUGGUCGACAAUAUUGGUUGAAGUAGGUAGAAUAGGAAAGGUGAGACUCUCACUAAAGUAAUUUUAAAAUGUUUAAUUGUAACUUCUGAGAGAGUUUUUAGGUUGAUAGAUGUGGAAGUGUAUGUAAAUCUGAAAUACCAAAAUGUUGACAAAUAAAUACAUACAUAAUGACAAUAUUAUAAAACAGUGUGUGAUGUGUAACUGCAUAAAUGUUGAGAGGCAGGAGGGGAGGAGAGGUGAGUGUGACAGACCAGAGUGGUAUAUAUUUGGAACAUCUUAGAGAAAGAGGAAUGCCAGUAUUUACUUGGGCACAGCUAUGGAGUACUGACUUGCUUUUUUAAAAAAAAUCUUAAUACCAUUCUCUUUUGCUUUAAAUCCCUCUCUUGGGCUUCAGUUUCUUCUUUCUUUCCCGUUUUGCAAAACUUGGUGCAGACCACUUGUUUGAGCUGUUUUGUGCCUAGGUUCCUUAAAUGCCAGAAAACGAUUUCACUUUGGCAGUUGCUGCCUACCAGGCCCGUAGCCAAGACAUAUUCUGAAAUGGAGUUGUCCUGGACAGAGUUGUUUACAACCUUUCACCUUAUAACCUGGUAUUCUGAUAAAAACGUGCCUUCUGAUUCUUUUUCUCAGUUCCUGUGCCAAAGAAGAAAAAAGUUUACAAACUUCUGUCCUGAAAACAGAUGCUGCUGCAGUUUCUUGGCACUGAUUUGGAGAACCUGCAAUUACUGGACCAUGGAAAUUAUCUCUGCUUCCUUGAGAAGAAAUGUGGGAAGGAACUUGCCAUGAAGUAUACAAGAUAAGAUCCCACUCAGGACCCCAGUGAAGGCUGCAGCCCUUAGGCCCUGGCUCUCACUGCUCCCCACUUGUUCAACUGAACACCCUGCCGAUUGCACUUCUGUGUGGGCCUGCGCUUGCCAGCGGUGACCCCACUUGGGACCGUGACAUCUUUUGGAUGUUGGAGAUGAGGAGUCAUGAAGUCUAUACCUUCAACUACUCUUCCUUUUGCUGUAUAUGCUGAAUCACCCAGGCCUUGGCUUUGCCAGAUGUUGAGUGCUUCAUUUACCUUUUUUUUUUUUUUUAAGCUACAUAUGUACAUGUGAAAGUGGCUCAGAUCUGUUCAACUCAGUCCAUGGAAUUCUCCAGGCCAGAAUACUGAAACCUAUAUGAUAUCUGGACUGGAGAUAUGUAUGUAUGUAUACUUUUAACUGGAUGCUUUUCAUGUCAUAGCUAGAUUCUCUUUUCCACAAAAAUACUGGUAAUGCAAAUGAAAUUUCAAAAUGUAGAGGUUUUAGAUUUUUUUUCUUUUCAUUUUUGUUUGUUAAAUUAAUUAUCUGUGAGCUUCUAGCUCAGAUCAGACAAGCAAACAAGGGGAGAAAGAAGCAAAAGAAAAUUUGUGGAAUUUCUAGAUCCCAAUGCUUUAAGAAGUCAUAGAAAUUGGCCAGUCAUGGCUGGCCUUGUGGCUUCAGCAUCCUAUAGUCAAGUUUGAGUUACAGCAGGUGAAUAUAGCCUGGUUUGCCCAAGGUUUUUAAUAUAUAUAUUUAUAAAGUAGGUGACUAUUUUGUUAUAAAAAUUAUAAAGUCAUGCUGUUGACUUUAUUAAAAUUUUUUUUACAUUUUAUUUAAAAUAAAUUUAUUUAUUGAUAACCACCAGGUUGGUAUUUGGCCUUUGGGAAUGAGUAGUGGAGGUGAGAAUUUUCUCAGUAUAUGUACCUUUCUAUAAUUCCUUGAUUUUCUGUGUAUAAACACACACACACACACACAAUCUCUCCAGGAAGAAAAAAUAAAAGAACUACACAGGACAACUUCUCUCCCACUCAUGUGACUAUUAAGUCUGUGCAAUUAAGUCACUAUGAAGGCAUUUUAGACACUUGAGGAAUGUCUAUGUUACCACCUAUUCUGCGCUAACGUCCCAAGUUCAUAUGUUGAAGCACUAACUCCCCAGUGUAACAGUAUUAGAAGGUGGAGCCGUUGGCAGGUAGUUAGGUUUAGAUGAGUUCCUGAGGGUGUGGCCCUCACUGAUGCUGAGAUUAGCGUUCUUAUAAAAACAGAAGGGGCAGCAGUUUCCUCUCUCAGUGUACAGGCCUUCUGCAAGCCUCUGGGAAGACCCUCACCAAGAACUGUAUCUGUCCCGGACUCUGGUCUUGGACUUCGCAGCCUCCAGAAUUUUGAGAUAACCUGAAGUUGCAAGAAAGGACUUUGACCUCUCGCCGGGACUACCUUCAUAUUCCCAUACUUCGGAAACCGGAGGUGUGCGCGAGACCCUGAAGCCCAGAGUUGGUGUCGCUGGUCACGUUUGGACAUCGAUAGAACUUCUGGGAGUCAGCUAAGGGGCUCUGAUGGCCGAAAGCCAGAUCCACAGCCUUCCCACCGGCUCCUCCCCACCUCAACGCCCGCCCUGCGCCAGGUGACUACCGCAGCCUCCCGGACUGAGGGCGUCCACGUUACCACUCCGUGCCAAGGACACGAACCGGCUGUGCCCCCACUGCGUUGCCCACGCCCUGUGCCUCCAGCUGUGGACUCCGACCCGCAGGCAUCUCGGAAUUGCUCGAGAUGCAGCGGGUCCUCCAGGGCAGGGCCUCGCACCUGGUAGUUCAGUUCAGUUCAGUUCAGUUGCCCAGUCAUGUCCAACUCUUUGCGACCCCAUGGACUGCAGCACGCCAGGCUUCCCUGUCCAUCACCAACUCCCGGAGCCUACUCAAACUAAUGUCCACCGCAUCAUAAAUGCUGGGUGAAGGAUGCAUACUACCCCAAGGUCCUAGGGCAACCAAGAAUUCCAGUGUGUGCUUUAAGCUUUUGGACCUACGAGGAACUCUGGAAACGGAAGGCGGGAAAGGUUUCUCCAAGCCGGAGGCGCUUUUGUUCCCGGAGCUGAUUAAAAACAAGGCAAAGGUCCCGACUUUGGACAGGUGCGCACUGGGACCGAAGCGAGCUCCCCACCGUGGACGGCGAUUCAGCCGCAGUCUGGGGUCGUCCAUCCUAAGGGGAAGGGAGGGUCGACCAGGGAAAGCUGAAGAAGAGGAGACAGCGAGUGGGAGUGGAGGCAGCCCGGGGAGGGACGGAGAGUGCGCGUGCUGGUGCUCUGGCCACUGAGGGAAAAGGCCAAAAGAAAACGGAAAAUGCCUAUUUUCGUUAGAUCACUUUGAUUACCCUUUCCCUGCCUCCUUUCUGUCCGCCACCGCGCUGACCACGAUUGUUUACUGUUGUAUGCUCUCGAAUUGGAAUGACUGAUGUUCCUCUCUGAAAUGCUUGGCUAAAGACCACCACGCCCUGAGGAGUCCAAACCUCUAAGCGGGUGGCGAGGGGCCCGCGGCCCCGCGCGGUAGAGGGAGCACACCCCCGGCUCACGACAGGACGGUAGAAAACGCCCCCCAGGGCGACUCCGACUCCGCCCCAGCCCUCUGCGGCAGGGAGUCAGCGGCGCGCUGCCUCUCCGCCCUCCUUGCCGAGGAAUAUUAAAUGUUACUAACCCGGCGUACUGUUUAGUAGAUGCACUGUCAGAGAAGGCCUAGUAUCAUUCCUGGAGUAAUGCUGAUUGUUUACUAAAGGUAGGAUGAUGACAACUGCAGCUUUAAUCCCACAUUAAUAGAGCUGGAAGUCCACAAUAGUUUUGUAGUCUUGUGUGGGCUACCUGCAAGCAGGAGCUCUUUUUUUCCUCAGUAAUAAAAUUAGCUAAUACUCUA